rnacentral:rRNA from 1 species
UACGGGGGGGGCAAGCGUUGUUCGGAAUUACUGGGCGUAAAGGGCUCGUAGGCGGCCCACUAAGUCAGACGUGAAAUCCCUCGGCUUAACCGGGGAACUGCGUCUGAUACUGGAUGGCUUGAGUUUGGGAGAGGGAUGCGGAAUUCCAGGUGUAGCGGUGAAAUGCGUAGAUAUCGGGAAGAACACCCGUGGCGAAGGCGGUUCUCUGGGACGGUACUGACGCUGAGACGCGAAAGCGUGGGGAGCGAACAGG